rnacentral:snoRNA from 1 species
UGUUUUAUGAUGACAACAAUCUCAGCUCACUCAGAUCUAAGUAUGAUUGAUAAACGUUAUUUCCAACAUUCAUCAAAAUGCCUGAACAUCCA